rnacentral:tRNA from 1 species
GCGGGCGUAGUGUAGUUUGGUAUCACCUAGCCUUGCCAAGGCUAUAACCCGGGUUCAAAUCCCGGUGCCCGCA